rnacentral:rRNA from 1 species
GCCAGUGGUGAACUCCACAUCCGCAUCCUUUGCUGAGGAUACGGUUAACGGAGCGAAAGCGACGUUCAACCGCAAAACAAGCAGAGGGGGCUUAGUGGUGGGGUGACUGCGUACCUUUUGUAUAAUGGGUCAGCGACUUAUAUUCUGUAGCAAGGUUAACCGAAUAGGGGAGCCGGAGGGAAACCGAGUCUUAAUUGGGCGUUAAGUUGCAGGGUAUAGACCCGAAACCCGGUGAUCUAGCCAUGGGCAGGUUGAAGGUUGGGUAACACUAACUGGAGGACCGAACCGACUAAUGUUGAAAAAUUAGCGGAUGACCUGUGGCUGGGGGUGAAAGGCCAAUCAAACCGGGAGAUAGCUGGUUCUCCCCGAAAGCUAUUUAGGUAGCGCCUCGUGAAUUCAUCUCCGGGGGUAGAGCACUGUUUCGGCUAGGGGGCCAUCCCGGCUUACCAACCCGAUGCAAACUGCGAAUACCGGAGAAUGUUAUCACGGGAGACACACGGCGGGUGCUAACGUCCGUCGUGAAGAGGGAAACAACCCAGACCGCCAGCUAAGGUCCCAAAGUCAUGGUUAAGUGGGAAACGAUGUGGGAAGGCCCAGACAGCCAGGAUGUUGGCUUAGAAGCAGCCAUCAUUUAAAGAAAGCGUAAUAGCUCACUGGUCGAGUCGGCCUGCGCGGAAGAUGUAACGGGGCUAAACCAUGCACCGAAGCUGCGGCAGCGAACGUAUCACCCAAGACAACUUUACGGAGUUGACGAUUGACGGAGCGAAGCGACGUCAAAGCGUUCAUUAAAGUCGAGUUGGCUUAGGGAUACGUUCGUUGGGUAGGGGAGCGUUCUGUAAGCCUGUGAAGGUGUGUCGUGAGGCAUGCUGGAGGUAUCAGAAGUGCGAAUGCUGACAUAAGUAACGAUAAAGCGGGUGAAAAGCCCGCUCGCCGGAAGACCAAGGGUUCCUGUCCAACGUUAAUCGGGGCAGGGUGAGUCGACCCCUAAGGCGAGGCCGAAAGGCGUAGUCGAUGGGAAACGGGUUAAUAUUCCCGUACUUGGUGUUACUGCGAAGGGGGGACGGAGAAGGCUAUGUUGGCCGGGCGACGGUUGUCCCGGUUUAAGCGUGUAGGUGUGUGUUCCAGGUAAAUCCGGUUCACUUUAACACUGAGGCGUGACGACGAGGCACUACGGUGCUGAAGCAACAAAUGCCCUGCUUCCAGGAAAAGCCUCUAAGCAUCAGGUAACAUCAAAUCGUACCCCAAACCGACACAGGUGGUCAGGUAGAGAAUACCAAGGCGCUUGAGAGAACUCGGGUGAAGGAACUAGGCAAAAUGGUGCCGUAACUUCGGGAGAAGGCACGCUGACACGUAGGUGAAGUGAUUUACUCAUGGAGCUGAAGUCAGUCGAAGAUACCAGCUGGCUGCAACUGUUUAUUAAAAACACAGCACUGUGCAAACACGAAAGUGGACGUAUACGGUGUGACGCCUGCCCGGUGCCGGAAGGUUAAUUGAUGGGGUCAGCGCAAGCGAAGCUCCUGAUCGAAGCCCCGGUAAACGGCGGCCGUAACUAUAACGGUCCUAAGGUAGCGAAAUUCCUUGUCGGGUAAGUUCCGACCUGCACGAAUGGCGUAAUGAUGGCCAGGCUGUCUCCACCCGAGACUCAGUGAAAUUGAACUCGCUGUGAAGAUGCAGUGUACCCGCGGCAAGACGGAAAGACCCCGUGAACCUUUACUAUAGCUUGACACUGAACAUUGAGCCUUGAUGUGUAGGAUAGGUGGGAGGCUUUGAAGUGUGGACGCCAGUCUGCAUGGAGCCGACCUUGAAAUACCACCCUUUAAUGUUUGAUGUUCUAACGUGGACCCGUAAUCCGGGUUGCGGACAGUGUCUGGUGGGUAGUUUGACUGGGGCGGUCUCCUCCUAAAGAGUAACGGAGGAGCACGAAGGUUGGCUAAUCCUGGUCGGACAUCAGGAGGUUAGUGCAAUGGCAUAAGCCAGCUUGACUGCGAGCGUGACGGCGCGAGCAGGUGCGAAAG